GGUGAAAUUCUCAGAUUAACUAAAGACUAACUUAUGCGAAAGCAUUUGCCAAGGAUGUUUUCAUCAAUCAAGAACGAAAGU
rnacentral:rRNA from 1 species